rnacentral:lncRNA from 1 species
GUCGACGGAGCCGUGGCGCGCCGCUCCACGGCCGCGACCGAAGACAGUGGUUGGGAAGCGCUCCCGAAGAAACUCUUCUUGCAGAUAAUGGAUGUGUCCAACUAUUCCGAGCGCAAAUAGACUGAUGGCGUUACUCUCGGCCGCGUCGUCUUAAGGCUCAAUUACCAGUUGUGGUUCAGCGGCUCCGCGCGGAGCUCGAAUUUUUAUUUUCGUGCGCCGCGAUCCUAGUUUCGCGCCAUGCGGCCCGCUCCAGUACUCCUCCGAUGACGGCCCUGUGUCCCAGUGCCUUCCAACUUCCAAAGUUUAAGUGACAAUGCCGCCGGCCAGUGUUAGUGCGUGACCAGUGUGUGAGUGCCACAGGCUAGGCGAAGCCUAGGAAAAAUGUACAGUGCUCUCGGAUGAAGAUGUCUCACAGAAUCGCGCUCUAGUUUUCCUCAUACAGGUUUUCGCAGGCGGCACGGAUCUCUCGCAUGUGCUCGAUGCUUCGGAACCCGCCCUCGGGCCCGGGGAAAUUAGAGGGAGCAAUGACUCAGAUCAGGGUGGGAAUUUCCCCGACAGAGGGCGCAAGUUCAUGUUCAACGACACAGAACUCUGGACCAAGUUCAGUCUGGUCGUGCGUCCGGAUCAAAGUGCGGGGGCGUCGCUGACGACGGAGAAAAACGGGUUGAUCUACACGACGAACCGGUCCCUCGGGGUCCCGACGCCCACCCUUUGGCCAGUAAAUGGACCAAGGUCCACGUGACGCUACCCCCGCGGAAGUCCACGCCGCCCUCGCUCGCGACGACCGUGACGUCCAUGACGUGGACGACGAGGCCCACCACGACGACGACGAUGAUGACGUUCGCGACGCAAAAGCCGGCGACGACCCUCUCGACUUUGGCGGCCUCGGUGACGAAUCGGUCGGUGUUGUUGCCGGAAACGCGGCGGAAGCCGGAGAAAAAGGAUCGGCAGGACGACAUUUUUACGACGAUGAGGAUGAGGACGAGUACGAGGAUGAAGAUGAGGAGGAGGAGGACGAGGAAGAGGAGGAACUCGAGGAAGCCGAGUUCGUAGAAGUCGAAAAAGUCGACUAUGAAAAUUAUUCAGAGGAGCCUCCUACAAUACUUAAGAAGAAGAAGAAACGGAAACGGAAACGAGGGAAAAAGAAUUCGCUGAAGCUGAAAGACUUCAAGAAAUUAAAGAAAUUCAUGUUACCGUUACUUCUGGCAUAUAAGCUCAAAUUCUUCACACUUGUCCCACUGCUACUUGGAGGACUGGUGCUCAUCGUCGGGACCACAGGUUUCGCCGGAUUCUUCUUCGCCCUGUUUGCCGUUGGCCUUGGUCUUAAACACCACUAAUAGCACUGAACGUUGAAAAAAGAUGACCGCUGACUGCAAGUGGAGUUCAACGUCAGGCAAACACAUUUGACUGCCAUAUUGAAAACUAGGACUUGCUGAAUUGCCGAUGGCUCAAAGGCUUUCCAUCUCCAUCAAAAUCUCACUCACAUCCGUUUCGGCCGUAACGUCACAAGGGUCAAGGAAGGAAAAAUUCGCAAUGGAUUUGCAGAAUCAAAAUGUGUAACUUUUAGGAAGUCAAACAAUAUUGAAAGAAGAACGAUUAAAUUGAAUUAUGCAUCUAUUCCUUAGGAAAUGAUUCUUCAAAAUGGUAUUUAUGAAACUAACCUAUGCGAGAGCAUUUCAAAGUUGCCAAGAUUAAUAAGUGGUCCAUCAGUCAUUCAGACUCUCGUCAGGCACCACUCAUCAGGGAUCGUUGAAAACAGUUGAGGAAAGCUAUGCAAAAAUUUUGAUUACCAACAGAUAAAGAUGUCACUCGUAAAAAAAUUAGUCCUCACAUAUAAUUGUUAUUUUAAUUUGAAUAUACCCUGCAAGUUAUUUUCAAACUCUUAAAACGUGAUGUAAAAACCGUACCUUGAAAGUCAGGAAUGCCUUCAGUGUCACGGUUAGAAUUUCAUAAACUGAUCGAUCCACCAUUCUGGCCAAGGAGUUUUUAUGUAUUUUUCAACGGUCAUCAUGGGUCAACGGGUCAGUUAUGUUGGUCAUUAAAUUGUGUUUGCAGAUUGGCUACAAAUAAUAAGAUCAGUCCAAACAGUAAAUUUUUACUUUUAAUAUUAACCGAGAUAUAGCCCUUUGAAAAGAUGGGUUUUCGACGUUAUCUACCGCGGGAGUGACACCAUUUUCUUCCACCUUGCUUUCAUUAGUUGGUGUGUCGCUCAUUUGCACUGGUUAUUCAACGUAAAACUUGGACGAUAGCAAGAUGGAAGAAACCAAGGGUGUCACUCCGCGGUGGAUGACGUCGAUAACCCGACUUUUUAGAGAGCGAUAUCUCGGUUAAUAUAGAACGUAGAAAAGUCCAAUUUGGACAGAUCUCAUAACUUUUAACUAAUCUACAAGAAUCAUGCAUCAAAACACGAUUCUGUGACCAGCUUAACUGGCCCCCUCUGUCGUACGCAUUGGUUUAUGUAUGACUAAAACUGUAGAAAUCAAUAGAAAAUAUAAAGCAGUGACGGCAAAAUGAUGCCGCGUAAAUGUAUUACAAUAUGUUCCCUUGUUUACCUAAUUGUAAGAACAUAGCGAAAAUCUAAAUGACGUUUCCAGGAUUAUGAUGCAUUCAAAUCAGUACCACAGAGUCAAAAUGUACGUAACUCACAUUUUUAUAAAAAUGGAGUUUUGGUUUUUUCAAAAUCUCCAUCAACGGUCCCUUGCGUGUAAACAAUUUGAUAGCCCCAGCUUACGCCAGUUAUGAGAUACAGAGUUUCAAAUUUACGAUUUACAUUAGUUUCAAUAGGACCGUCGCGUGGUUUUCCCCUGAUAUCUCGAAAUGACGAAAAUUAUGUUACGUACCUUUUGGCUCUGGGAUACUUAAAUUAAUUUCAAUUUUAGGAUGUAUCUCUUGAAGCAAAACAAUUUACAGGACGUAAAGAUUUAGACUAGUGAAUAAAUGUAUUAUCCCUAUUUGUGGAUCCCCAUUUGAAUGAGAGCUUUAUCUCAGCUGAGGCUUCUGAUAUAUUAUACGAAUAUAUGGAAUUCAUUGAAAGCAAAUAUCUGUCGGAUGUCCCUUGGCUUCCAAUACUUUGCGAAUAUAAGAUCACUAGACUUUUGAUUCCAUUAUAGAAUGUGCCAAAAACUUGCUUGAGCUUCUUUGCGAAUUUUUCCACCUUAGGUUGGUCAUGUUGCGUUUUCAUUUCGGAAUUUGAAUGGAGAGAAUUCAAUAGGCCAGUUGCACUUCUAGAAAAACAUUUAACCGAUACUUAAAAGAAGAUCAGCAAAAUUCAAUGACCCUUGCUGAUUUGACGCUUUUCCUCCAUGAGUGACGGAAUAGGAUGUAUCACCGUUUGAAAAACAGGUUGCCGUGAUCGUCAUUCACGGAGGUAAUGCGUCUGGUAAUCUCUUUCACGGUGGCGAUAAGUACGUACAUUAAGUGUACAAUUUACAUAAUUAAUCGAUAUAGAAACCAAAGUGGAAGAAAUCAUGGUGCCACUACCACCAAGAGGUACGUCAAUCAUAGUAAAUCUCGAAAUAGGCAAUACCGACAUCAUUAUUGAAUUUUGAAAUUUUUCGUUUAGAUAAAUAUGAUCGAUAUACUUUUAUACUGAUCUACUAUAAAACAUCAAUCUGACUUACAAUUAGUGUAACUGGAAUAUUGAAUAGGUAGUGUAAAGCGAAACUUUUUGGCACAAGUCUUGAACACCAUUUAUACUCUUUAUCGAUUUCGGAUUCAUGCCGUAAGAGUCGUAUUCUGCAUCGCUUAACGCCGUACAAUUGAAGGCACUUUAAAUGAAAAACAGAAAAUGGAAAAUGUAACACAUAAGAUACAAACGGCGAGGGUUUUCAAGUGUCCAUUGUUUUCCCUGAAAGGACAAACCUCUUGAAUGCCUUAUGCAUUAUUUCCAUCAUACUCAUCUGAAAAAUGUUGACCGUGUGGUGCGAAAGAAAGUAAUCUUCAAAAAUUGUUUGAGCCGAAAGAGAUUAUCUAGCAGUGAUUUAUUUAUUUUGACGGGUCGUAUUGGAUUGAAAUUAUGGCUCGUUUGAGGAGUGCAGGAAAAGAAUGAGGUGAGUGGCAUCUGGCGCUAUACAAAUUUUCAGUUUCGUUAAAGAAAUUUUAUAUAAUUUGUAAACAAUCGUUUUGUCUGAAAAUGUUUCCUUUAUUGACAACUGUCCGUUGGAAUAGUCAGAGCGAUUUAGCUCUUAGUUAUUUGAUCAAACAACAUUGAAACUUUGUAAACUUCGGGACAAUAUCGUUCAGACUGUCCUAUUUCUUUUACUGUACUCCUCAUUUGGCAUAAAUAGGGUGAAAAAUGUUGCAUUUUUAGUCAUCUACUUGAAUAUUAAUUGUAUAAAUAGUCUUAAUGCAGCAAUUUCAAUAUUUAAAUCCAUUUCGAUUUAACAAAUGAAAGAAACAAAAAAUAAUUAAAAUGUGCUCUGGUAAAAGAUAAUAAGAAAAUUAUAAUUCUCUUCUGUAAGUGGGACAUUUUGCUGUUCCAAAUUUCCCAAUAUUCAUAUUUCUUUAAAUAAUACUAUGCUAGGUGACGAGCAGUAUUCAGAAAAUAUCCGAGACCUCAAUAUAUAACUAUUUGACAUAAUUUCCAAAAAAAAUUUAAAUAACCCAAACUCGAAUUGUUUAUGUAAUUUUUAAGUAAAGUAAUUUGUUUGUUUUUUAAGGACUCUCACUCUCUGGAAAGUAGAAAGUCUGGCUAACGCAAGUUUCAUACACUUUAUUAAAAACUAUCCUUGCUGAAUAUAUUCCUAUCUUUGAUGACAACAUAAUUUCCAAAAAAGUUUAAAACCUUCUGUAAUGUGUAACAUCAUAACAAAUUCCACAAAUUUUUGUCUGCGAAACUAAGAUGAUGUUUUGCUACGCCAUAUUUUUACUUAUUGUAUUUUUGUACAGUUUAUUUUUAGUACCAUAAGUUAAUUUAUUUAAAUGUAUGGUAAUGUAGAAAGUGCAGUGAUUCAGGAAAAUACUCGAAUAAGUUUUUCCCUAAGUUUCAGUGACGUUAAACAGGAGAUGAUCCGUUUCAGACGCAUGAAAUGUAUGAAAAACUUUGAUAUAAUUUUGUAGAAAUCACAUAAAAUAUACAAGUAAUAUCUUAAUCAUUUUUGUAAAUCUUGCCCCUCACUUGUAAGCACAUUGAAACUACCUAAAAAAUGCAAAUUUGUGAUUAGACUCUAAGACACAGCUAUAUUCCGAAUACUGACACUCCUCGUGGUAGUUCAUAAGCAUUCAGAUCAAAUGUUUCAAAGUCAAGUUAAAUUUUCAAAGAGGGUGCGUGGAACUCCGAUUUAAAAUAUUCCAAAUCAUGGGUACAAAAGGAUAUCGACAAGGGCCGUUUUUGGGCCCACCCUGAUUUUUUCAACUCCAUUUUUUGCUCUUUACAGAUUUAUCCUUUACGAAUGCAUCCUAGUUUGGUAAAUUUCGGUUUUUCAGGUUUAAUACUGGCCUAAACAUGGUCCUAAAGGCCGGAUUUUGCAGAAAAUGAGAGUUUUUCGGGUUUGCAGUUGAAUUGCGAAAAAGCUUAAUUUUUCGCCAAAAUUGGCCAUCAGGCCCGUGUUUAGGCCAGUGUUAGACCUUAAGAGACCGAAAAUGACCAGAUCAAGAUGCAUUCAGUAAAAUAUAGACCUCCAAUGAGCUAAAAAUCGCAGAGUUAAGAAAUUUCAGCUAGGGUGCGCCCAAAAACGGCCCUCAUUGAUAUUCCUCCUUUCAAAGUCACAAACUUGACAUGAUUACCGAAAUAACUGUAUACGAUCCAUGCUAAAAUAAUCGAAAUAGAAUAUAUAGCUAGUAUGUCAUUUCGUUACUUCUAUGAUUCUACGACGAUCAUUCAAAAAGUAUAUUCAAAUAGUUUAGAUCUCAAUCACGAAAAAAGAUAAAUCAGAUCUGUAAAAUUGUCUAAUAUUUAGAGCUCUCCA